rnacentral:rRNA from 1 species
AAAUUGAAGAGUUUGAUCAUGGCUCAGAUUGAACGCUGGCGGCAGGCCUAACACAUGCAAGUCGAACGGUAACAGGAAGCAGCUUGCUGCUUUGCUGACGAGUGGCGGACGGGUGAGUAAUGUCUGGGAAACUGCCUGAUGGAGGGGGAUAACUACUGGAAACGGUGGCUAAUACCGCAUAACGUCGCAAGACCAAAGAGGGGGACCUUCGGGCCUCUUGCCAUCAGAUGUGCCCAGAUGGGAUUAGCUUGUUGGUGAGGUAACGGCUCACCAAGGCGACGAUCCCUAGCUGGUCUGAGAGGAUGACCAGCCACACUGGAACUGAGACACGGUCCAGACUCCUACGGGAGGCAGCAGUGGGGAAUAUUGCACAAUGGGCGCAAGCCUGAUGCAGCCAUGCCGCGUGUAUGAAGAAGGCCUUCGGGUUGUAAAGUACUUUCAGCGGGGAGGAAGGUGUUGUGGUUAAUAACCGCAGCAAUUGACGUUACCCGCAGAAGAAGCACCGGCUAACUCCGUGCCAGCAGCCGCGGUAAUACGGAGGGUGCAAGCGUUAAUCGGAAUUACUGGGCGUAAAGCGCACGCAGGCGGUCUGUCAAGUCGGAUGUGAAAUCCCCGGGCUCAACCUGGGAACUGCAUUCGAAACUGGCAGGCUUGAGUCUUGUAGAGGGGGGUAGAAUUCCAGGUGUAGCGGUGAAAUGCGUAGAGAUCUGGAGGAAUACCGGUGGCGAAGGCGGCCCCCUGGACAAAGACUGACGCUCAGGUGCGAAAGCGUG